rnacentral:ribozyme from 1 species
AGAGGUCAAAAGUUUGAGACCACAGCAUAAGUGCUCAUGGCGCAGCCUGUCAGAUUCCAAUGAAUCUGUGAAUUCUGCU